rnacentral:rRNA from 1 species
AUUGCCUUAGUACGGCGAGUGAAGCGGCAACAGCUCAAAUUUGAAAUCUGGCUCUUUUAGAGUCCGAGUUGUAAUUUGCAGAGGGCGCUUUGGCGUUGGCAGCGGUCCAAGUUCCUUGGAACAGGACGUCACAGAGGGUGAGAAUCCCGUACGUGGUCGCUAGCCAUCGCCGUGUAAAGCCCCUUCGACGAGUCGAGUUGUUUGGGAAUGCAGCUCUAAAUGGGAGGUAAAUUUCUUCUAAAGCUAAAUACUGGCCAGAGACCGAUAGCGCACAAGUAGAGUGAUCGAAAGAUGAAAAGCACUUUGGAAAGAGAGUCAAAUAGCACGUGAAAUUGUUGAAAGGGAAGCGCUUGCAGCCAGACUUGCCUGUAGUUGCUCAUCCGGGCUUUUGCCCGGUGCACUCUUCUGCGGGCAGGCCAGCAUCAGUUUGGGCGGUUGGAUAAAGGUCUCUGUCAUGUACCUCUCUUCGGGGAGAACUUAUAGGGGAGACGACAUACAACCAGCCUGGACUGAGGUCCGCGCAUUUGCUAGGAUGCUGGCGUAAUGGCUGUAAGCGGCCCGUCUUGAAACACGGACCAAGGAGUCUAACAUCUAUGCGAGUGUUUGGGUGUCAAGCCCGAGCGCGUAAUGAAAGUGAACGGAGGUGGGACCCCUUUUAGGGUGCACCAUCGACCGAUCCUGAUGUCUUCGGAUGGAUUUGAGUAAGAGCAUGGCUGUUGGGACCCGAAAGAUGGUGAACUAUGCUUGAAUAGGGUGAAGCCAGAGGAAACUCUGGUGGAGGCUCGCAGCGGUUCUGACGUGCAAAUCGAUCGUCAAAUUUGGGCAUAGGGGCGAAAGACUAAUCG